AGACCAACCCUUGAAGACUUCCGCAUCUUCAGGAUAUUCUGAUCCAACAUCGAGGUCACAAACCUUUUUUUCAAUAAGAGCUCUCAAAAAAGAUAAUGCUGUUAUCCCUACGGUAACUAUUUCCCUUAAUCAAUAAAACUGGAUCUAACACUUGAAAGUAUUCAAACUAUAAGGAAGCUUCUUUUGUUCCUUAGUCGCCCCAACUAAAAUGUUUUAUGAAAAUUUAUCUAAGAAUAUAAAUUAUAAAUCACAAAAAUAUUUUUAAGCUCGAUAGGGUCUUCUUGUCUUUUAAUAAAACUCUAGGCCUUUUCACCUAGAAGUAAAAUUCUAUAAAAUUAAAAAGAGACAGUAUUACUUUCGUCAAACCAUUCAUUCUAGUCCCCAAUUAUAGGACAAAUUAUUAUGCUACCUUCGCACGGUCAGAGUACCGCGGCCGUUAAAUAAAUCACUGGGCAGGGAAGACUCCAUAUUUUACGNAUACAUGGAGCC
rnacentral:rRNA from 1 species